UGAGGGUGCAAGCGUUGUUCGGAAUUAUUGGGCGUAAAGAGCGUGUAGGCGGUCCGGUAAGUCAGAUGUGAAAGCCCUGGGCUCAACCCAGGAAGUGCAUUUGAAACUACCAGACUUGAGUACGGGAGAGGAGGGGGGAAUUCCCGGUGCAGAGGUGAAAUUCGUAGAUAUCGGGAGGAAUACCAGUGGCGAAGGCGCCCCUCUGGACCGAUACUGACGCUGAGACGCGAAAGCGUGGGGAGCAAACAGGGAUUAGAUACCCUGGUAGUCCACGCCGUAAACGAUGAGCACUAGGUGUAGCGGGUAUUGACCCCCGUGCUGUGCCGUAGCUAACGCAUUAAGUGCUCCGCCUGGGGACUACGGUCGCAAGACUA
rnacentral:rRNA from 1 species